rnacentral:rRNA from 1 species
ACUAAGCGUACACGGUGGAUGCCCUGGCAGUCAGAGGCGAUGAAGGACGUGCUAAUCUGCGAUAAGCGUCGGUAAGGUGAUAUGAACCGUUAUAACCGGCGAUUUCCGAAUGGGGAAACCCAGUGUGUUUCGACACACUAUCAUUAACUGAAUCCAUAGGUUAAUGAGGCGAACCGGGGGAACUGAAACAUCUAAGUACCCCGAGGAAAAGAAAUCAACCGAGAUUCCCCCAGUAGCGGCGAGCGAACGGGGAGGAGCCCAGAGCCUGAAUCAGUGUGUGUGUUAGUGGAAGCGUCUGGAAAGGCGCGCGAUACAGGGUGACAGCCCCGUACACAAAAAUGCACAUACUGUGAGCUCGAUGAGUAGGGCGGGACACGUGGUAUCCUGUCUGAAUAUGGGGGGACCAUCCUCCAAGGCUAAAUACUCCUGACUGACCGAUAGUGAACCAGUACCGUGAGGGAAAGGCGAAAAGAACCCCGGCGAGGGGAGUGAAAAAGAACCUGAAACCGUGUACGUACAAGCAGUGGGAGCACGCUUAGGCGUGUGACUGCGUACCUUUUGUAUAAUGGGUCAGCGACUUAUAUUCUGUAGCAAGGUUAACCGAAUAGGGGAGCCGAAGGGAAACCGAGUCUUAACUGGGCGUUAAGUUGCAGGGUAUAGACCCGAAACCCGGUGAUCUAGCCAUGGGCAGGUUGAAGGUUGGGUAACACUAACUGGAGGACCGAACCGACUAAUGUUGAAAAAUUAGCGGAUGACUUGUGGCUGGGGGUGAAAGGCCAAUCAAACCGGGAGAUAGCUGGUUCUCCCCGAAAGCUAUUUAGGUAGCGCCUCGUGAAUUCAUCUCCGGGGGUAGAGCACUGUUUCGGCAAGGGGGUCAUCCCGACUUACCAACCCGAUGCAAACUGCGAAUACCGGAGAAUGUUAUCACGGGAGACACACGGCGGGUGCUAACGUCCGUCGUGAAGAGGGAAACAACCCAGACCGCCAGCUAAGGUCCCAAAGUCAUGGUUAAGUGGGAAACGAUGUGGGAAGGCCCAGACAGCCAGGAUGUUGGCUUAGAAGCAGCCAUCAUUUAAAGAAAGCGUAAUAGCUCACUGGUCGAGUCGGCCUGCGCGGAAGAUGUAACGGGGCUAAACCAUGCACCGAAGCUGCGGCAGCGACACUAUGUGUUGUUGGGUAGGGGAGCGUUCUGUAAGCCUGUGAAGGUGUACUGUGAGGUAUGCUGGAGGUAUCAGAAGUGCGAAUGCUGACAUAAGUAACGAUAAAGCGGGUGAAAAGCCCGCUCGCCGGAAGACCAAGGGUUCCUGUCCAACGUUAAUCGGGGCAGGGUGAGUCGACCCCUAAGGCGAGGCCGAAAGGCGUAGUCGAUGGGAAACAGGUUAAUAUUCCUGUACUUGGUGUUACUGCGAAGGGGGGACGGAGAAGGCUAUGUUGGCCGGGCGACGGUUGUCCCGGUUUAAGCGUGUAGGCUGGUUUUCCAGGCAAAUCCGGAAAAUCAAGGCUGAGGCGUGAUGACGAGGCACUACGGUGCUGAAGCAACAAAUGCCCUGCUUCCAGGAAAAGCCUCUAAGCAUCAGGUAACAUCAAAUCGUACCCCAAACCGACACAGGUGGUCAGGUAGAGAAUACCAAGGCGCUUGAGAGAACUCGGGUGAAGGAACUAGGCAAAAUGGUGCCGUAACUUCGGGAGAAGGCACGCUGAUAUGUAGGUGAAGCGACUUGCUCGUGGAGCUGAAAUCAGUCGAAGAUACCAGCUGGCUGCAACUGUUUAUUAAAAACACAGCACUGUGCAAACACGAAAGUGGACGUAUACGGUGUGACGCCUGCCCGGUGCCGGAAGGUUAAUUGAUGGGGUCAGCGCAAGCGAAGCUCUUGAUCGAAGCCCCGGUAAACGGCGGCCGUAACUAUAACGGUCCUAAGGUAGCGAAAUUCCUUGUCGGGUAAGUUCCGACCUGCACGAAUGGCGUAAUGAUGGCCAGGCUGUCUCCACCCGAGACUCAGUGAAAUUGAACUCGCUGUGAAGAUGCAGUGUACCCGCGGCAAGACGGAAAGACCCCGUGAACCUUUACUAUAGCUUGACACUGAACAUUGAGCCUUGAUGUGUAGGAUAGGUGGGAGGCUUGGAAGUGUGGACGCCAGUCUGCAUGGAGCCGACCUUGAAAUACCACCCUUUAAUGUUUGAUGUUCUAACGUUGACCCGUAAUCCGGGUUGCGGACAGUGUCUGGUGGGUAGUUUGACUGGGGCGGUCUCCUCCUAAAGAGUAACGGAGGAGCACGAAGGUUGGCUAAUCCUGGUCGGACAUCAGGAGGUUAGUGCAAUGGCAUAAGCCAGCUUGACUGCGAGCGUGACGGCGCGAGCAGGUGCGAAAGCAGGUCAUAGUGAUCCGGUGGUUCUGAAUGGAAGGGCCAUCGCUCAACGGAUAAAAGGUACUCCGGGGAUAACAGGCUGAUACCGCCCAAGAGUUCAUAUCGACGGCGGUGUUUGGCACCUCGAUGUCGGCUCAUCACAUCCUGGGGCUGAAGUAGGUCCCAAGGGUAUGGCUGUUCGCCAUUUAAAGUGGUACGCGAGCUGGGUUUAGAACGUCGUGAGACAGUUCGGUCCCUAUCUGCCGUGGGCGCUGGAGAACUGAGGGGGGCUGCUCCUAGUACGAGAGGACCGGAGUGGACGCAUCACUGGUGUUCGGGUUGUCAUGCCAAUGGCACUGCCCGGUAGCUAAAUGCGGAAGAGAUAAGUGCUGAAAGCAUCUAAGCACGAAACUUGCCCCGAGAUGAGUUCUCCCUGACUCCUUGAGAGUCCUGAAGGAACGUUGAAGACGACGACGUUGAUAGGCCGGGUGUGUAAGCGCAGCGAUGCGUUGAGCUAACCGGUACUAAUGAACCGUGAGGCUUAACC